rnacentral:rRNA from 1 species
GCAAGUCGAGCGGUAGCACAGAGAGCUUGCUCUCGGGUGACGAGCGGCGGACGGGUGAGUAAUGUCUGGGAAACUGCCUGAUGGAGGGGGAUAACUACUGGAAACGGUAGCUAAUACCGCAUAAUGUCGCAAGACCAAAGUGGGGGACCUUCGGGCCUCAUGCCAUCAGAUGUGCCCAGAUGGGAUUAGCUAGUAGGUGGGGUAACGGCUCACCUAGGCGACGAUCCCUAGCUGGUCUGAGAGGAUGACCAGCCACACUGGAACUGAGACACGGUCCAGACUCCUACGGGAGGCAGCAGUGGGGAAUAUUGCACAAUGGGCGCAAGCCUGAUGCAGCCAUGCCGCGUGUGUGAAGAAGGCCUUCGGGUUGUAAAGCACUUUCAGCGGGGAGGAAGGCGUUGAGGUUAAUAACCUUGGCGAUUGACGUUACCCGCAGAAGAAGCACCGGCUAACUCCGUGCCAGCAGCCGCGGUAAUACGGAGGGUGCAAGCGUUAAUCGGAAUUACUGGGCGUAAAGCGCACGCAGGCGGUCUGUCAAGUCGGAUGUGAAAUCCCCGGGCUCAACCUGGGAACUGCAUUCGAAACUGGCAGGCUAGAGUCUUGUAGAGGGGGGUAGAAUUCCAGGUGUAGCGGUGAAAUGCGUAGAGAUCUGGAGGAAUAC